CUGGGGAGCAGUCAGCUGCGUCCCAGUAGCUGGCUGGGGAGGUGGGACAUGCUGGGGACACGGGAGGGCUUGGGGACAGGUUGGGGACGUGGUGGCACUUGUCCCAGCGCCUGGCACAGGAGGUGACACGGCAGCGGGGACGGGCAGAGGCAGCUGAGGAGGCACUGAGAGGACUGGCCCAGGCGGCUGCCAGGCUGGCCAGGGUGGUGACAGCCCGCGAGGCCGAGGUGACAGCAGCCACCAGCGCCAUGGUCACCCUCAGCGCCCGUCUGCGCCGCGCAGGACAGCGGCUCCGUGUCCUGAGGGGGCUGGUGGCUCCGAUGGUGGCCUUGGACCGUCCCCAGUGGCAGCAGGACUCAGCGGGGGAUGGCCCGGUGGCCAAAGUGACAGGCAGUGUCCAUCCGCUGGCGGGGACGAUGGCCGGUGUCCGGCGCAGCGUGGUGGCCUCGGGGGUGGCUGAGGAGGUGACACACAGCCCGGUGACAAAGGACGAGGUGACAUGGGACGAGGUCACUUCCUGUGAGGACAGGAUGGGGCACCCCCCCAGCAGAGAGGCGUUGGGGUCCCUCGUGAUGCAGCUACAGGCCCUGGGCGCCGCCAUCCUCGGGGACGAUGGGGACAGCAGGGACCCCCCCUGACCCCACUGUGGACCCGGCCAUCCAGGUGAGUCACCCCCCACCGCCCCAGCCAGUGGGAAGGGGACCAGUUUGGCCCAGUUUGGCACUGGUGUGACCCACGUGUCACUUUCCAGGGUAAUAUUUGGC
rnacentral:lncRNA from 1 species